rnacentral:rRNA from 1 species
UGGGGAAUAUUGCACAAUGGGCGCAAGCCUGAUGCAGCCAUGCCGCGUGUAUGAAGAAGGCCUUCGGGUUGUAAAGUACUUUCAGUCGGGAGGAAGGUGGUAAGGUUAAUAACCUUAUCAAUUGACGUUACCGACAGAAGAAGCACCGGCUAACUCCGUGCCAGCAGCCGCGGUAAUACGGAGGGUGCAAGCGUUAAUCGGAAUUACUGGGCGUAAAGCGCACGCAGGCGGUUGAUUGAGUCAGAUGUGAAAUCCCCGGGCUUAACCCGGGAAUUGCAUCUGAUACUGGUCAGCUAGAGUCUUGUAGAGGGGGGUAGAAUUCCAUGUGUAGCGGUGAGAUGCGUAGAGAUGUGGAGGAAUACCGGUGGCGAAGGCGGCCCCCUGGACAAAGACUGACGCUCAGGUGCGAAAGCGUGGGGAGCAAACAGG